UAGCUCAGCUGGUUGAGCGUAGCGCUAACAACACUAAGGUCGCGGGUUCAAUUCCUGU
rnacentral:tRNA from 1 species